rnacentral:rRNA from 1 species
GUCUAACCUGCCCUAUGAUUAUUUAAAUGGCUGCAGUAUUUUGACUGUACAAAGGUAGCAUAAUAAUUAGUUUUUUAAUUGAAAGCUGGUAUGAAUGGUUGGACGAGAAAAUAGCUGUCUCUAUUUAAAUUUAAUAGAAUUUUAUUUUUAAGUUAAAAAGCUUAAAUAAUUUUAAAAGACGAGAAGACCCUAUARARUUUUAUAUUUUUUUUUUGUAAUAAAUUUAAUAAAUUAUUUUUUUAUAUUAUGAAAUAUUUUAUUGGGGUGAUAGUAAAAUUUAAUAAACUUUUAUUUAAAUUUAACAUUAAUUUAUGAUUAAUUGAUCCAUUAUAAUGAUUAUAAGAUUAAAUUACCUUAGGGAUAACAGCGUAAUUUUUUUGGAGAGUUCUAAUCGAUAAGAAAGUUUGCGACCUCGAUGUUGGAUUAAAUUUUAUUUUUGGUGUAGAAGCUAAAAAAUUA